AAAGCCGGGCCGUAGCACUGAGCUGCCAUUUUGUUGGCGGCUGCUGCGGCUGCGGGCCGUGGCUGUUGGUGUGGCUGAGGCGCUGCCCGCAGCGGCGGCUUGGGGCAAUUUUAAAAGGCGUUUUAAUUUGGUUGAAGGCGGUGGUGCCCCAGCCCUGUUUUAAUCCGCUAUGUCCGGUGAUGGAGGUACCGGCGAGCAGGCUGCUGAAUAUGUCCCAGAAAAAGUGAAGAAAGCUGAAAAGAAACUCGAAGAGAAUCCAUAUGACCUUGACGCUUGGAGCAUUCUCAUUCGAGAGGCACAGGUUUAGUGACAUAGGAUUACAUUUCCUUAUCUAUGGUCCACUCACACUAUUUGGUUCUGGAGUAAAAUCAGCAUAUUUCUUUACAUAAGUCAUAAUAUUGUAAAUGCUGUUUUGAUUUUCAAUUUUUAGAAUCAACCUAUAGACAAAGCACGGAAGACCUAUGAACGCCUUGUUGCCCAGUUCCCCAGUUCUGGCAGAUUCUGGAAACUGUACAUUGAAGCAGAGGUGCACGUUUCUCUGGAGUCAGAUCUUCUACCUGCUGCACAACAGUGGUGGGGUCCUUGGUUUCAUAAAUUAAAAAACUGAGAUAGUUACUUUUUAAAUUCUAUUCAUGUGAAAAUUGGGAAUCAGCAAUGAAUGGCAAAACUGCAUGGUAGAGGUGGCCCGGCUUAUUUACAUUAAAUUACAUAUCCACGAAUGUCCUGGCAGGAAAUUUUUGAAGCUUCUGAAAUAAAAUGGGGAUCACGGGAACGUAACAGAAAAUGUGAUGUUGCAGUUUAUAGCAAGACGUAGUAGUGCAACCUAAAAUGAUCAAUAUACCUAAUGAAAUACCCUUGAACUUGCACUGUUUUGUUUCUAGUCGUCUGUGGUUAGUGGAGUGUUGUUGACUGGACAUAUCUGGGAGACUGUGAAUGCACUAACACAUGUGGGUGUGAAUUUUUCCUUUUGGGAGCCUACAUCCAAAGCUGUUAGCCUCGUACCCUGCAUAAUUUGCUACAGAAUCUAGUCUUUAGAAUAUUAACUUAGUUCGAGGAUUACAUUGAACUCUGAUUUCUGAGGGAUUUAGGACUUCUUUGAAACUGGUAUCUUUCCUGUAACUCAGAUUUGAGAGGUGAAUAAGACCACCUCAGAAAGUCUGUGCUACACUGUAAAUCUUUCAUCAGAAAGUACCGUUAUCAAUAUGAGGUUUCUUGUCUGAGGCUUCUUGUCUUGAAGGAUAAUCAGAGACUAAAUGGCAGACAUUACCUUCCUUUAUCAUUCUAACUAAUUUAUAAUUAGUACUGUAUACAGAUACAAGUGCUGACAAGGCUUAAGCAGUGCAGGAUAUAAUUCUUAAGUGCUUCUUCAAGGAAUGGAGAAGAGCUUCUAUCCAGCUCAUAUGUUAACCACUAAAACAAGGUAGACUUGAGGAAGAGGCAGUUGGCGUUAAGAUCACUGUCUCAUGCUUGUGUGCGUGUGUAUCUGUCUACAACUACACAUGAAAUAUACGAAAAAUAGAAUAUGUUAUUCUAUUACAGAAAAAAGGACAAAUGUGACUUGUGGAGUUUUGGUAAAGAUUGCACUUGGAAAGGGUUGUAUCUGAAGGAAAUGGAAGAGGUUACUCUUUAGAAACUUAACAAAUGAGGUUUUUUUUAAUUCCAGUUAAAACUUAAAUGUUCAACUGCAGUGGUUCCAGUAACUUCUCUCAAAACUCACGAAGUUGCUGAUAUAACUGAUAAGCAAUAUGUUUAUAGCUACCUUUUCCAAUAUAUCCAACCGUUUAUAGCUUUAAGAUUAAAUAACUUCCUAUUUCCAAAUUCUUCUCUGAAAAAAAUCACAGUUGUGCACUCUUUUCACUGCUAAAGUUGUAUGUGUCCAGUACUGUUGAAGUAAACACAAAACAAUAUUUUCUCAAACGUUCUUUCAACUGUGUGAAUAUAAAUCAAAUUUUAUAAGUUUGCUGGAGAAAUUAUCUGGAUGCUUCUUUAAUUGCAGCUUUGAAAUGUACAGGGAGUGUAUUUCCCCAAAGCUGUAUUUCCUUGGAGAUCUUAGUGUUCUGCUGUCAAGCUUCUCUUGAAUAGGUCUCUGUCCAGCCUCGAGUUGGGAAAGUAAACUUGCGGUGGAUCUUUGCUUAGCCUUGCUUUUGAUUCGCUUUUACUUUUGUGGGUAUUUAAAUCUGGAAAUUGCUAAAUCUUCAGUUAUCUGUGAGCUGCAUCUUUCCUGAUGUCAAAACAAGCGUAUCGCUUUCCUCUUUAACACCAUAACUUGUUUCCUCUUUGCGUCACAGAGAAAAGGAGAGAGGAAAGUGGGAGCUGUUUCCUGGCAUGUUGUCUUUAACUGGAGAGUUUUGUCCACUGAAUACCUAAGUCUGAGAUAAAUAUCCGACAUGAUGUUCUAUUACUGGGAGAUGAGGUAGGGUGAAGGUUACGGUUGUGGCCUUGUGAAAAAAGACUUAGCCUUUAGCGUAUGUUCUUCAUAACAUUUGUAGAAAUCUCCAAAUUUCCCUUUGCCUAUCUUGAGGAAUGCUUUAGUUGCUUCCAGUCUUGGGAUAGAAAUCAUGAGCUACAUGAACAAAACCUUGUCUUGCAUAUGCUAGUUUAUUAUGUAAUACAAAACUUUUAAGUGCAGACCUUACUGCUGUGGUUACUACUUUUUAUGACAGUGAUACUCACUGCUUUCUUUCUCCAUAUGGCUUGGUUUCCUAGUGAAAUAGGUUGUAAAGCAGUACUCAGCACUUAGUAUGUCUUCUGACUUAUUGCCACUGAUGUGCAGACCUCACUGAAGUAACUGAAUACCUUGUGUUUCCAUUUUAUAUGCCAAGCACUGACUGAAAUACUCCAUUCUCUCCCAUGACUGUUUGGCGGUCAGUCAAACUUGGAGAUGAACUGGGGAGGGCGUGCCUUGACGGUGUGCUAAGAGGAGCUACAUUAAAGUUGGAAGUGGUCAAAAAGAAAUUUUGAUCCUGAGACUGGUUCUUAACACUUCUGUGUCCUGCAUCUGCUUACUUAAAUAUCAGAAAUAGUCAAAUUGGAUAAAAAGUCUGCCAGCUCACAGUGUUGUGAGGUCAUAGCAUGUAAUUCUUGUGAGAGUAGUUUGUUUUAGUGGAUUAAAUCAAGUAGUCUGUUUUUAUACACUUCAGCAAGUAGGAGUAGUUAGCUUGCUUCUGUAUUUAGCAUCUCCUAAAAUGGAGGAAUUAGAGCAGUAAUGUUACUCUUGAUACUGAGGCUGUUUUCUUUAGUUCAGAGCACGUUUUUUCUCUUGAUACCUUUUCCAUAAAAACCUACUUUCAAAAAACUCAAAUCAAUUCACAUCUCAGUGCCUCUUUCACAGUUAUAAGAAGGAUCAUAUAAGUCUCCCAUAUGUGCCAUAAUGUUAAGUUCAUAGAUCACAUGAUCUGGAUGUUAGCCUGCUCUGCUGAUUUGCUCUGACUUCCUGGGUAAGUUAUUGAACUGGUUUUACCAUGAUUAAAACACUCAUACCUACCUACCUCACAGGGUUGUUGUGAGGCUUAUUUUGAAUGAUUAAAGUGCUUUUGGCAUCUGGCUAAAAGGUGCUGCACAAAUGUAAAAAAUAAUAAAUUCUGUUGUAAUACACCCUAUGAUUCUGUAGGCCCAACUGUCUAUUACUGUUUCUUCUGUCUCUUUGACUGUUUGACCCAUCUUUUAGAUGCAGAAAGAUCUGAUAAUGCCUUUCACUUUCACUUCACUGGUGGUGUAGGUAUUUCAGUAGUUCCACAACAAACAUUUGACACUGUUGCCUUUUUUACCGCUAGUUUUCCUUGUGCAAUCACAAAUCUUUUCAAAGCACACUUGUUAAACCAUGUUCGUAUAUUUGCAAUGCUUUCCAUGAAUUUUUAGUUCUGUCAGGUUAUGUGCAAACUUUAAUCUGUAAUUGUGCUGAAUGCUUCAGGCCAGUUCACACCACACCUUCUUACCUUUUCUGUUGUUGAACAUACCUUAUUAUAUCCCGGUCACUUUGAACUGCUGUUAGUAGAUGUUGAAAGGUUGCUAUAAUUAAAGAUUUAAAAAAUCAGAAGCACAAAACAGUUGUGAUAUAUAUAAAUACCCCCCAAAACUAGAAACAAUAAAUACGACACUAGUAGCAUGCAUGUCAAGUGUUUGGCUGUUGAUAUGUAUUUUUUGUUCUGCAAUUUUUUUCAAAUAAGCCUCCUGUGUUACUGCAUGUUCUAAAGAAAUGAAACUAGAUAUACUUGUUCAGAUAACUUCUAUCUGAUACGAACAUUUUGAAUUUUAGAUGUCUCAGUAAGAAAACAAGAUGCUGUACGAUGUUUCAGAUGGUGGGACCAAGGCUUAGGGUUGAUUUGUUUUGCAUUUCAUCAAAUGCAAUACAUCAGUAUCUUUAAUUCAUGUAACUCACACUGGUGUGGAUACUAGUCAGAAUGUAUCAUUUAACAUACUUGUAUAUGAAAAAUGCAAAUAAAACCUUUUAGAAAAAUGA